AUUUUAAUUGCUCACUGUUCUUGCUGCAGGCAAAAGAAGAGCAUUUCAUAAAGAAAAAGAUAAAAGGAAGAUUGAAGACUUUGCAGGUGUUUGGUAUAUUGUGUAUGAGAGGAAUUUGUGCCUUGACAUCAUGGAUAACGCGCCACAAUGCCUACUCUUCAAAGCAUGCCUUCUGUUUGUAUGGCAAUGUAUGCCAGCCUCGAUUAUUUGAAUUUGGAAUUGAAUGUAGCACUCGUAAACUUAUAUGCUUGGGUCUGCAAUUCUAUCCUUUUCUUUUCGUUUAUUUCCCUUGUUAUGUAAUGCUUAGAAGAACAUAUAUUGUUAUUAAUAUAAUCGAAAAACUUGGUAUGUAAGUUGUUGUGUA